GUAGGUGGCAAGCGUUGUCCGGAAUUAUUGGGCGUAAAGCGCGCGCAGGCGGUUCUUUAAGUCUGAUGUGAACGCCCACGGCUCAACCGUGGAGGGUCAUUGGAAACUGGAGAACUUGAGUACAGAAGAGGAAAGCGGAAUUCCACGUGUAGCGGUGAAAUGCGUAGAGAUGUGGGGGAACACCAGUGGCGAAGGCGGCUUUCUGGUCUGUAACUGACGCUGAGGCGCGAAAGCGUGGGGAGCAAACAGGGAUUAGAUACCCUGGUAGUCCACGCCGUAAAUGAUGAGUGCUAAGUGUUAGGGGGGUUUCCGCCCCCCUUAGUGCUGCAGCUAACGCAUUAAGCACUCCGCCUGGGAGUACGGCCGCAAGGCUG
rnacentral:rRNA from 1 species